GUGGGGAAUAUUGGACAAUGGGCGCAAGCCUGAUCCAGCCAUGCCGCGUGAGUGAUGAAGGCCCUAGGGUUGUAAAGCUCUUUCACCGGUGAAGAUAAUGACGGUAACCGGAGAAGAAGCCCCGGCUAACUUCGUGCCAGCAGCCGCGGUAAUACGAAGGGGGCUAGCGUUGUUCGGAUUUACUGGGCGUAAAGCGCACGUAGGCGGAUCGUUAAGUCGGGGGUGAAAUCCUGGAGCUCAACUCCAGAACUGCCUUCGAUACUGGCGAUCUUGAGUCCGGAAGAGGUGAGUGGAACUCCUAGUGUAGAGGUGGAAUUCGUAGAUAUUAGGAAGAACACCAGUGGCGAAGGCGGCUCACUGGUCCGGUACUGACGCUGAGGUGCGAAAGCGUGGGGAGUAAACAGGAUUAGAUACCCCUGUAGUCC
rnacentral:rRNA from 1 species